rnacentral:rRNA from 1 species
UAGCGUAUAUUAAAGUUGUUGCGGUUAAAAAGCUCGUAGUUGGAUUUCUGUUGAGAACAGGCGGUCCACCUUUUGGGUGAGUAUCUGCAUUGGUCUCGGCAUCUUCUCGGAAAACGUCUCUGCGCUUGAUUGCGUGGUGCGGAGUUCGGGACUUUUACUUUGAGGAAAUUAGAGUGUUCACGGCAGGCAAUCGCCUUGAAUAUAUUAGCAUGGAAUAACGCUAUAGGACAGUUGGGGGCGUCAGUAUUCUGAAGCG